UAUUUAUUGUUUAUUGAUAUUUAUUUCAAAAGGGUAACUCUAAAUAUUCUGCUAAAUUGCUGACUGCUGACUUGCAUAAAAUGGAAACAUUUCAAAAUUGCAUUUUUCAACCGACACUACCAGUCAUAGUUCAUGAAAACUGUGCCACAUAAAGUGUUCAUAUUAUGAGAAGGAAUUUAGCAGAAAAGAUCCAAUUUCAAUCCGAAUAAGGAAUUAAUAGAAUUACUACUACCCCCUAACCCUACUUGCUCAAUACCCUGUAAUAUAAAGUACUUGAAUUAAAGCUAGAACUUCACUAUCAGCAAUUAACAGCCAAUCGACCUCAUUGUUUCCUCUACAGGGAUUCCUCUUAGCUUGUCACUGACAGCCAUCUUAACAUCCAAGUGACCCAUAUUUCGCUAUCACAUGACCAGCAUUUCUUUCACAACCACUUAGGGGGACGACUGCAUAGCUCUGGCAGACCAUGAGUUGUGUGUGAUAAGGCUGGUGAGGGGCUUGGUUUGCUGUCUUCAAGAGUAUGAUAAGGGGGCUCAGGUGAUCAUAUGAUCAUUUCAGGUGGCGUUUUAAAUAUAAACACUACUAUAUGUGGAGUUGAAAGACUACGAAGGAGACUUUACAAUUAAGCCUAAUAACAAAUCUCAUGACAGACAGUGCAUCUUUAAAUUUGGCCCCAUUUGAAAUGGGCUGGACUCUGGCCUAAUGGUAUUGCUGACAGCAAAGAUAGUGUCUUACAGAUAUUUAAUU